UGGGUUUAGAACGUCGUGAGACAGUUCGGUCCCUAUCUGCCGUGGGCGCUGGAGAAUUGAGGGGGGCUGCUCCUAGUACGAGAGGACCGGAGUGGACGCAUCACUGGUGUUCGGGUUGUCAUGCCAAUGGCACUGCCCGGUAGCUAAAUGCGGAAGAGAUAAGUGCUGAAAGCAUCUAAGCACGAAACUUGCCCCGAGAUGAGUUCUCCCUGAGACUUUAAGUCUCCUGAAGGAACGUUGAAGACGACGACGUUGAUAGGCCGGGUGUGUAAGCGCAGCGAUGCGUUGAGCUAACCGGUACUAAUGAACCGUGAGGCUUAACCUUACAACGCCGAAG
rnacentral:rRNA from 1 species